rnacentral:rRNA from 1 species
UGGGGAAUCUUGCGCAAUGCGCGAAAGCGUGACGCAGCAACGCCGCGUGGGGGAAGACGGCCUUCGGGUUGUAAACCCCUUUCAGGAGGGACGAAGGUUCACCGGUGAAUAGCCGUGUGGAUUGACGGUACCUCCAGAAGAAGCUCCGGCUAACUACGUGCCAGCAGCCGCGGUAAUACGUAGGGAGCAAGCGUUGUCCGGAAUCAUUGGGCGUAAAGCGCGCGUAGGCGGCCCUGUAAGUCCGUUGUGAAAGUCAAAGGCUCAACCUUUUGAAAGCCGAUGGAUACUGCAGGGCUGGAGUCCGGAAGAGGCGAGUGGAAUUCCUGGUGUAGCGGUGGAAUGCGCAGAUAUCAGGAGGAACACCAAUAGCGAAGGCAGCUCGCUGGGACGGUACUGACGCUGAGGCGCGAAAGCGUGGGGAGCGAACAGGAUUAGAUACCCUGGUAGUCCACGCCGUAAACGAUGGGCACUAGGUGUGGGAGGUGUCGACUCC